GCAGUCGAACGGAAUCUUUCGGGAUUUAGUGGCGGACGGGUGAGUAACGCGUGAGAAUCUGCCUUCAGGUUCGGGACAACAGCUGGAAACGGCUGCUAAUACCGGAUGUGCCGAGAGGUGAAAGCUUAAGUGCCUGGAGAUGAGCUCGCGUCUGAUUAGCUAGUAGGAGUGGUAACGGCACCCCUAGGCGACGAUCAGUAGCUGGUCUGAGAGGAUGAUCAGCCACACUGGGACUGAGACACGGCCCAGACUCCUACGGGAGGCAGCAGUGGGGAAUUUUCCGCAAUGGGCGCAAGCCUGACGGAGCAAGACCGCGUGAGGGAAGAAGGUCUGUGGAUUGUAAACCUCUUUUGAUAGGGAAGAAGACAGUGACGGUACCUAUCGAAUCAGCCUCGGCUAACUCCGUGCCAGCAGCCGCGGUAAUACGGAGGAGGCAAGCGUUAUCCGGAAUUAUUGGGCGUAAAGAGUCCGUAGGUGGGUAACCAAGUCAGCUGUUAAAUAGUGAAGCUUAACUUCAUAGAGGCGGCUGAAACUGGUUGUCUAGAGUGUGGUAGGGGUAGAGGGAAUUUCCAGUGUAGCGGUGAAAUGCGUAGAUAUUGGAAAGAACACCGGUGGCGAAAGCGCUCUACUGGGCCUGCACUGACACUGAGGGACGAAAGCUAGGGGAGCGAAAGGGAUUAGAUACCCCUGUAGUCCUAGCCGUAAACGAUGGAUACUAGGCGUUGCCCGUAUCGACCCGGGCAGUGUCGUA
rnacentral:rRNA from 1 species